GAAUUGAAUAAAAGGCUGGCCCUCCCCAAAUAGAAGAGAAUUCUUCUGUCUGAUGGCCUUUAAAUGGGAGCAUCAGCUCUUCCUUCUUCCAGACUUUGGACUUGAAGUGGGACAGUAGCUCUGCAGAUUUGGGAUUUACCAGCCUCCAUUAUCUCAUGAGCCAAUUCUUUGUAAUCUUUGUAUGUUAUAGAUGUGGAAACAAAAACUCUUGGAGCCUAUGUAACUUAUCCAUAUCAACAUAGUUAAGAAGUAAUUGAGAUGGGACUGAAGCCCAGUUGUCUCUGAUCUUGAAGCCUGGGGUCUGUCUACUACACCAAACCACACAGCAUAUACACGAAUUCAAGAAGUCUCACAGAAAAAAAUUUCACCAGCAAUAACAGAAUAUGUGGCAAAGAAGGAAUAAAUACAUGUUUUUCAGGUGUGCUAAGAACGGAGGAAAUGAGAUGAAAAAAACCUAACAACAAUACACACUCAAUAAUCAUGACUGUUAACUUGAAUUUAGUCUCAACCCUUGACAACCGUGGUCCAAACCAUACUCCCACUUAUAUUAAAUAAUAAUGAAAGGGGAGAAAUCUGCUAUCUGACCAUAUUUUAGAAAAACUGGACACCAAACAGUUUUCAUCCAGCCAUAGGUAAAGUUCCCUAUUCAUUGAAGAAACAGUGUGAUACCUAAGAAAGAUCUGCAGUUACCAUCCACCAUGAAGAACUAACCCUGUAUUCAGAAAGUGGGCAUUUUGCACAUAGAACAAUCCCAUGAAUCUCAUGUGUGCACACACACAAGCACACUCACAAAUGUGGGUUUUUUCCCCUCCAUCUCUGUCAGUGCCCUGUGGUGGUAGUCCUUGAUCCCUAUGAGACCCCCCACUCUCAUGGGGCUUGGCAACUUAUCUGUCCUAUAGAGCCAUCAGUUGAUGUUUCUGGUGAUGAGCUCAGAGCUGUCUCUCUCCUCCUCGAGGCUGAGUGGAUUCUGUGUAGAGGCCUGGCAUUUCUACUAAGACUGCAAAUGAGAGCCUGGGAUUCAGAGCUGAAAGUGGAUUUCCUGCACAGCUGAGCCAAGUGCUUCCAACCAUCCAGCCAGAUGUUUGUCUAUAUGGUCCUGGCAGUCAUAGCUUGGGAUGGAGCCAGGAUUUGGCCGAUUUCUAUACUGAAAAGCUUGAUGGAAUGCUGGGGUGGUGCCAUCCCAUAAUAAAAAAGGUGGUCUCUCAGAUUGGCACACCACUCCCAUUUGCCUUGGGAGUCUCUCCAAAAGGAAGAGGUGCUUGAGUAAAAGUAGGUGUGUCCAUCUAGUCCUUGCCAGGGCUUGAGUGGAGGAGGGGAGGGUACAGGCUGAGGGAAGGUGGAUGGAGAAGAAAGAUUCUGAGUGAUUGGAAGCUUGUGCCAGAUGGAGCUGGAAGACGGUGCUCUGUUGCUUCCCUCUGCACAUGUGUGGCCACCAGGGGAUUGCCUGGCUAUGCACACUGCUUCACAUCUGUCAGCUAAAUCAAAGUUGCAUAAUUGAAGAUGCAAAGCGAGAAACAUUACGUGGUGCACAAGGCUCCCCAGAGGAUUUUGGAUCUGUAAUCCAGUGAGGAGAUUUUAAUGAGACAUGAGCCUAGCACUCUCAUCUGUGAGAGACAAUCUUCCUCCAGCUGUGUUUAAGGAUGUGGAAAACUUUUUUUUUUCCAGAAUAUGAGGAGUCUUUCUCAACUGGUCACUGCCUUCCCAUUUCUCGUGGUACCCUUUGGCCUUCCUCCCAAAGAAAUGUUUCUUUGUGAAGUUUGGACUAUUUUCAGCAUGAAGAAGGCACAAAAGACCCUGAGAUUGAGGCUUUGGAACAUAUGAAUCAAGA